GUAAGGGACUACUGCUUUGUCUAGUGGGAUGAAUAGGAAUCAGUGGAACAUUCCAGGCAUUGGGAAAGAUCUGUGCAAAGAUCCAGAAAUAUGAGGAACAGCAUAUGAGAAAGCAGCAAAAUGUGAGAGUGUUCUAAAGGAAGUACAGAUUCAAAUGUUUGGCGUGCAUGAUGAGGUUGGAAGAAAAGCAAACUGGGCAAUGCUGCAUCCAAAAGGGUCCCAGGAGCCUAAGGACUUCUAACAUCAGCCUGCAGGAGUCUCUGUUUUAGCAAAGGAUAAGUUGUCAUCCACUGAGCAGAACAAUCGUUGUCGCCACAGAGGCCCAUCAGCAAAUGUGAACAAAGUGUCCUAAGGAGACCCCUUUCUGAG